UCCAUAUAUCCAUAUAGCUCCUACCGAUUGAGUGAUCCGGUGAAUUAUUCGGACUGACGCAGUGCUCAGCUUCUGGACGUUGCGUUGGAAAGUUUCAUGAACCUUAUCACUUAGAGGAAGGAGAAGUCGUAACAAGGUUUCCGUAGGUGAACCUGCAGAAGGAUCCGACAGGAAGAGCGUCGUCUAGGGAACGAGUCUAGAACUCGGCGGUCGCCGUUACAUUAAAAAAAUAACACACUUUCAUC
rnacentral:misc_RNA from 1 species